GACGAACGCUGGCGGCGUGCUUAACACAUGCAAGUCGAACGGAAAGGCCCUGCUUUUGUGGGGUGCUCGAGUGGCGAACGUGUGAGUAACACGUGAGUAACCUGCCCUUUACUUUGGGAUAACUUCAGGAAACUUGGGCUAAUACCGGAUAGGAGCUCCUGCUGCAUGGUGGGGGUUGGAAAUUUUCGGCGGUUGGGGAUGGACUCGCGGCUUAUCAGCUUUUUGGUGGGGUAGUGGCUUACCAAGGCUUUGACGGGUAGCCGGCCUGUGAGGGUGACAGGCAAAAUAGGAACAGAGAUACGGCCCAGAGGGAAACGGGAGGAAGGAGUGGGGAAUAUAGAAAAAAGGGCGGAAGCCUGAUGCAGAAACGCCGGGUGCGGGAUGACGGCCUUCGGGUUGUAAACCGCUUUCGCCUGUGACGAAGCGUGAGUGACGGAAAUGGGGAAAGAAGCACCGGCUAACUACGU
rnacentral:rRNA from 1 species